GAUGAAGAACGUAGCGAGAUGCGAUAAGUAAUGUGAAUUGCAGAAUUCAGUGAAUCAUCGAAUCUUUGAACGCACAUUGCGCCCGCCAGCACUCUGGCGGGCAUGCCUGUUCGAGCGUCAUUUCAACCAUCAAGCCCCCAGGGGCUUGUGCUGGGGCCCUGCGGCUGCCCGCAGGCCCUGAAAACCAGUGGCGGGCUCGCUAGUCACACCGAGCGCAGUAGCACAUCUCGCUCAGGGCGUGCGGCGGGCUCCUGCCGUGAAACCCCCCACUGUAACCCCAAAGGUUGACCUCGGAUCAGGUAGGAAUACCCGCUGAACUUAAGCAUAUCAAUAAGCGGAGGA
rnacentral:misc_RNA from 1 species